rnacentral:rRNA from 1 species
GCCUGCGGAGGGAUCAUUACUGAGUUACCGCUCUAUAACCCUUUGUGAACAUACCUAACCGUUGCUUCGGCGGGCAGGGGAAGCCUCUCGCGGGCCUCCCCUCCCGGCGCCGGCCCCACCACGGGGACGGGGCGCCCGCCGGAGGAAACCAAACUCUAUUUACACGACGUCUCUUCUGAGUGGCACAAGCAAAUAAUUAAAACUUUUAACAACGGAUCUCUUGGUUCUGGCAUCGAUGAAGAACGCAGCGAAAUGCGAUAAGUAAUGUGAAUUGCAGAAUUCAGUGAAUCAUCGAAUCUUUGAACGCACAUUGCGCUCGCCAGCAUUCUGGCGAGCAUGCCUGUUCGAGCGUCAUUUCAACCCUCAAGCACCGCUUGGUUUUGGGGCCCCACGGCACACGUGGGCCCUUAAAGGUAGUGGCGGACCCUCCCGGAGCCUCCUUUGCGUAGUAACUAACGUCUCGCACUGGGAUUCGGAGGGACUCUUGCCGUAAAACCCCCCAAUUUUUUACAGGUUGACCUCGGAUCAGGUAGGAAUACCCGCUGAACUUAAGCAUAUCAAUA